UACGUAGGGCGCAAGCGUUGUCCGGAAUUAUUGGGCGUAAAGAGCUCGUAGGCGGUUUGUCGCGUCUGCUGUGAAAACUCGGGGCUUAACCCCGGGCCUGCAGUGGGUACGGGCAGACUAGAGUGCGGUAGGGGAGACUGGAAUUCCUGGUGUAGCGGUGAAAUGCGCAGAUAUCAGGAGGAACACCGGUGGCGAAGGCGGGUCUCUGGGCAGUAACUGACGCUGAGGAGCGAAAGCGUGGGGAGCGAACAGG
rnacentral:rRNA from 1 species